UGUGUAGCAUUAUGAAACAUGUGACGGCGAAGUUCUUACCACAAACAAACGAGAGCGGGGUUAAAGGUGUUACACGGAAGAAAUAGCCGGGGUACAGAUAGCAGAUUAGCCGCUAACUGCUGCUCACUUUACUCUUUGUUGUAGCUUUCUCUGGCUGUGGGGACUAGCUUCUAUUAGCAGGUAGCUCAGUUAGCCAUGGAGCUAAGGGCGCAGACAUUUUUUCACAUCUUAAUCUGUGAAUUGAGGUUUUAUUUUAACCAAUUUUGGAGAGACUAACAACAUUGUUCUGGGGAAGGGUCCCUUCAGGUCCCGCUCCUCUGAGCCCCAGCGCUCUCCCACUUUGUGGUUACGGACCACCACCUGUUUGCCGCCCUCGCUGAAGCGGGGGUUGAUGUGGAAGGCGAUGUCGUUUCCUCUCAGGAAGUUCACUGUGAACCUGCGGAGGAUCAAAACUGGCUCAACUCGUCUGUCCUCAAACAACUGGUGCACACAGGAGCAGGGCUGCAGGGCUGCAGUGUCGUUAAAGACAAGCACAUCCAGAAACACUCUUUUAUAGCCCAGAAACCCUCCGAGCACGAGGCCACUCCUCACCUCAUCACUCCACCUUCAGUCAGGGG